rnacentral:tRNA from 1 species
GUAAAUAUAGUUUAUUCUAAAACUUUAAACUGUGAAUUUAACAAUAAGAGCUUAACCUCUUUAUUUACC